GACGUAGGGGGCCAGCGUUGUUCGGAAUUACUGGGUGUAAAGGGUUCGUAGGCGGUGCGGCAAGUUGGGAGUGAAAUCUCUGGGCUCAACCCAGAGGCUGCUUCCAAAACUGCUGUGCUUGAGUGUGGGAGAGGCGCGUGGAAUUGCAGGUGUAGCGGUGAAAUGCGUAGAUAUCGAGAGGAACACCAGUGGCGAAGGCGAGUCUCUGGACGACUCCUGACACUGAGGCACGAAAGCUAGGGGAGCAAACAGG
rnacentral:rRNA from 1 species